UGGCGGCGUGCCUAACACAUGCAAGUCGAACGAGAAAGUGGAGCAAUCCAUGAAGUAAAGUGGCGACCGGGUGAGUAACACGUGACUAACCUACCUUCGAGUGGGGAAUAACCUCGGGAAACCGGGGCUAAUACCGCAUAACAUCGCGAGGUGAGAUUCCUUGUGAUCAAAGGAGCAAAACGCUUGAAGAGGGGGUCGCGGCUGAUUAGCUAGUUGGUGAGGUAACGGCUCACCAAGGCGAUGAUCAGUAUCCGGCCUGAGAGGGCGCACGGACACACUGGAACUGAAACACGGUCCAGACUCCUACGGGAGGCAGCAGUGGGGAAUUUUGCGCAAUGGGGGAAACCCUGACGCAGCAACGCCGCGUGGAGGAUGAAGGUCUUUGGAUUGUAAACUCCUUUCGAUCGGGACGAUUAUGACGGUACCGGAAGAAGAAGCACCGGCUAACUCUGUGCCAGCAGCCGCGGUAAUACAGAGGGUGCAAGCGUUGUUCGGAAUUAUUGGGCGUAAAGGGCGCGUAGGCGGUUCGGCAAG
rnacentral:rRNA from 1 species